CGGAGAUUGUGCUGGUAGGGGCAGAGGCCCAGGAUCCAGACAAUGGUGCACAAAUUACAGUGAAGUUGGUGGACUUCGGGAGCUACUAGGCGACGGACUGUCCUAGAGCGGUGCUUCAUCUAGGUGUGACCCAAGAGUGGGUGGAUGAAGGUCGAUUGCCAAAGGAGCGAACAAAAUCGAAGGUGGAAGAGACCCUGCGAUGUAUUGGCAGAGGCCACACAUGGAGGGUUCACAAUUCGAGUUUAUUCCACAAGGAUCAAAAUGCAAUGGAGAUGUCACCAGGAGGCGACAUGGUGCAGCGGAUCGUGGUGGAACAGUUCGUGGCAAUGCGAUACACACGACAUAAUCCCAUGAGGGACUAGAUCAUACGGAGGUAUGAUCGGGAGCUACUGGAAGCUCCACUUCGGUGAACAACACGACGGCAAGAAGGGCUAUGGAUUCAAGGAGUGAAGGCCAUGGUACCGCAGAGGCGGGUCUUCCGUGCGUGCAUCGAAUUUUGCAUCGGAUGAAAACCUUAGUCAUCAGCAUAUGGGGGCUGUAUUCCACCAAGGGAAAAGUUCGAAUGCAAGUACCAGUGAGUUCCAUGGGAGGGACUUGAUCAUGCAGAGGUAUGAUCGAAGCAGCUGGAGAGUUGGACUGCUCCAGAGCUCAUAUUCGCUUAAGGGAGCCCGACAAGUCAGAGGACAAGGUCGAGUAAGCGAACGUUGCUACCAAGGAAGCUAAGGAGAACAAAAUCGGUGUAGACCCUAUAAUGCGAUGGCAGAGGCCAUGCAUGAGAGUUGCAGUCUGUCUUUCCAUCGACCAAAGGAGAGCUGCUUGGAGAACACAGAGGUGUUGAAGCAGGGGGUCGAAAAGGGCGAGGAAGCGACGACGAGUCCAGAGGGACUUAGCUACCCAAAAUCAAGCAUCAGUUAGAAUGGAGGUGGACUCGGAGGAGUGCCACAGAGGCAUAUCUACUGAUUGUGAAGAAAAGAGAUGCAGAUGCGAGACGACGGAUAGUAGUGCCAUGGGCAUGGCAGUGCCAUGGUACCGCAAAGGCGGGACUUCCGUAAAAGUCAUUGAUCCCUUGCUCUCAUGGAGGGAGAGCGCUUGGUCGUGAAAGGGGCCGAGGAGGUGGAGCAUGCAGAGGCAAUCUCCAAGUACCGAGACAAGGCUGAAGGGUAGAGGCUGAGGAACUUUGUAAGACCGGUGUCAAUGAGCUUCUCAUCAAGAUAGCCGAAAGUGAAGGACUUCGGGUCAUGCAAGAGUGCAUAACCAAGGAACGAAGCAGGCAGUACGCGGUGCUGUACCUUUGCUACUCAGUGGAGUAGGCGACAAGGUUGAUGGAGAAGACGGUACAAUCCCAGAGGCGACCAAACCUAUCAGAGAAUUACUCCAAGUUGGGGUGAAAACUUCCUGGAUUCCAGAAGUUCGAUGACAUUGAGAAGGUGAAUCACAGUAACUAACUCAACGCAAGGAGUGCAAACACUUCAAGUGCUUCAGAAGUGUGAGCAAAGAGUAGGCGAAGGCCAGUAACCAGCUCGAUGCAUGGAGUACAACCUCGAGGAGGCGGGCGAAGUCAAGUAACCUUUGCCCUCUCAACUCUUAAGAGAAUGGGCGAAACCGAGUACCCCAAUUCUCUUAUCUAUCUAGCAGAGGAGCUCUGCAUAUGUUCAAAGACCCUUUGAAGAUAAUGGAAGACAAUAGUUGUCAAAUCCUCACCAACGGUGACCAGUGUUACUGAGAGUAGAUUGUCUGCUUCAUUUCCCAACGAAAUGGCAAUCGAAAGUGGAAGUGAUGCGAACCUACUUGGAUGUGACAACUAAGUGAAAGAAGAGUCAAUGGGCAAAUUUUGUGGAGGAAGGAGCUAAAACUUCAGAAAUUUGCGAGACGAUGCUCGUUAAAGCUCCAACAAGCAUCCACCCAGUUCAAGCAGCAUGAGGAAUUUGAGAGACUGGCGCAGUAAGGAUGGUCUUUUCCUUCAUCUGGGAGAUCCGCAGGAAUCAACAAUGAUCAACACAACUCAGCCAACCCCACACUAGAGUUAAGAGUCAUUGGUGAGUUGAAGCAGCAUGACGGAUCAAAGGUUCGACAACUCAAAAACAGCAGCGGAGAGCAGCUAGGAGCCAAGAGGCGCAUUGUAGCUGGAUGAGAAGAUUGAAGACUCAGCAAAGGCGAGGAGUUGCAGUGUCGACAAAGGCUUCAACGAGGAUGUCGAAGGAAUAAGUGGGGGAGAAUGUCACGGACAAACUUCUAAACAGGAUGUUUCAUGUGGACACGUGCGAGAGAUUCUCGGUCUAUAAUGGACCAUUUUACCCUUUGUUGUGCAACGGUUCAGAGCUUGUAAGGUCUGUUUGUAAUUUGCAUUGUCUAUGAAGUGUUUUUCGAAGAUGUUUGCUUGUGGAUCCUGAUUGAGGCGUUCUCUCUAACCCGUUCUCUCUUUUGUUGGUCCUAAGGGAUAAUGAGAGGCUUCGGGGAGGCUGACUUUUGCGGACGGACACGCAAGGGUGCCGCAUGACUUAGGCAAAACCAGCUAAGUCCAUGACAGUAUGUCACUCUCAAAAUUAUAGUCUUAUCCUUUUAUACAACCCCUUCCACCAAUGAAUUGAUAAGAAACAUUCUCUCUGAAGAAUUUUGUAAUUCAGAAAACAUUGUUUUGAUGGUUUUAGAAAUUUUAUGUGCCUACUGAAUAGCUAAGAAUUUUUUUUUGAAAAGGAAAGAAAUAAUAGACACCUCCCAUGUUUGAUCUGGUUGUGAAAGUGCAUAAGGCUCCUACCAAAACGGGGUGCAGGAAAAGAAUGUGUGCAAUCUUACUUAUACAGGCAUAGAGACCGAUUCCAUGACCCAAAGGAUGGUCACUUUAAUUGCAAAGGAACAAUCAUAUUACGACAUCAAGGCCUAGCCUAUAUCUUCGAUCUGAUCAUACUAACCAAAUGAAAACACUAUUAUCGUUAUUAUUAGUUUAUUGAAGAUUCUACUUUCAUUGUGCACACAAUGGCAAUAAAAAAUAUGAAAAAAAUGAUAGGAGGACCAAACGCACAAGCAGACAUCCGAUAUUUUAUACACCUAGAAUUAAUUUUCUCCACAGGACCCUAUUUAGUUUUCCUAAAAUUCAUACUUACUUAAAUGUUCCAAGGAAGAUAUCAUGUCAUCUAUGGACUGGUACCCAUUGUUAAGUUCAUCCCUCAAAAGAAAAUUUCCAUCACAGAAGUAGCACAAGUUUUAAUUAGCCAUCUUCUUUUAUGGUGCAUAAGACAUGCUACAACUGAAAGAGACUAGCAGUCAAACAAUAAGUUAUAUAAUGACUGACAAAAUGGCUCUGAUUAUUUCAAAUCUGCUAGUAACAAACUUAGGGAAAGUUAAAGUUGUAUUUAGCUCAAAUAAUAAAAAAAUGAACCAACAAAAACAACAACAAAACUGUCAGCCCCACCAACUAUCUGUGAGAUUGGCUAAUAUGGAUUUUUUGCCACCACUGAUAUAUGUAAAGAAUUAUAUCUCUAGUUAAGAGUUUUUAUUUACAGUUUCUACUAGAGCAAAGUGAUUAUAUGGAAGACUCUAAUGUAUGUAAAAUAAACUACAGACUUACAGAGUACCAUACGAAACAAAAAAAAAGAAUUAGGCAAUGCAUAACAACAACCAAAAGACAACAAAAAGAAGCCGUAUUGCGCCAACUAUUAGGAUCAGGUACAUGGUCUCUUCCUGCUAUUUAUGUGAACUGAGAGCAAUAUCAUUGGUCAAACUAAAAGGAAACAUACUAUUUUUCAUGAUUCUAAAAAGUUCUAUUUGGUCUUCCUCUACCUCUCCUUCCAGCACUAAUUGUGAUUGAUUUAUUAGAUUUUCUUCUACCUCUCCUCACAACACUAUCAUCGUCAAUCUAGGAAUAAACAACUCAUUUGUUAUAGUUUCUAAUUAGUCUCUUUUAGCCUUCCUAUACCUCCGCUCAUACCAUUAUUCAUAAUUGAUUUGCAUCUACAGGUCUCUUUGGAACAUGUUUAUAUCUUAAAUGGUCGUCUCAUUUUAUCAUCAACCAAUCAUUCACAAAUGUGGAUAUUAUUAAUAUAAUCUUGUUUAGAGCCUGCACAUGAAUCUCAACAUCCUUGGCUCCACAACACUUCUGUACAUGUGAUUUCCUACCAGAUUAACAUUCAGAACAUAACAAAGUAGUUGGCCAUACGAUGGUUGGGUAACUUUUCAAUUAACCCAAGACAUACACAACAAUUCCAUAAAUGAUCCUCUCCAAUUUAACCAUUAUCCUUCUUUAGUUCUGUGCACAAUAGCUUCAACAUAGAUCCAAGAGAGAACUUUUACCUCUAGGUAGUUCUUAUCUUCAAAUUUUAACAAUAUUAUACUCUCUUAGAAGUUGCACUUCAUAUAUUUAUCUUCAUCCUAUUUAAUCCUACUCAAAAUGUUUUAAAUGGCAGUUAGACAAAUUUUUUCAGUUUUCUCAAUCCAAUCAAGCAACAGGAACAAACAACCAUACCAGUUAAUAUCUUUCAUUUUCUUAUUUUUAUUAUUCUUACAAUGACACUGGUCAGCAAACAUUAGUGUCCUGAAUAUGCCUAAUUAAAUCAUCCAUUAUAAGGAUUUAAUGUGAAUCCAUGAUGCAAACCUACAGUGACAGGAACUCAAUAGAAUUUCCUAUUGUCUUAGCAUAGUGACUACCCUUCCACACAAUUUUUACAACAUCAUAACUGUUGCUUAGCCCUUCUCCCAAAACCACCAUGAAAUAUCUUCAGGCACUAUAACUUUCUAUCAGCAAAAUAGAAAAACUAAAGAUACAACUAAGGUUCUUAAACUAUUUUAAACUUCAUUAUAUUAAGCCAUGUCUACACCAAUAAUUUUUUCAUAAUCCUUAGCGAUGAUAUUUAAACCAUUCUAAAGCCUUGAUUUUAAGGUUCAUCUCAUAAUUCAAAAUAAAAAAUUAAUCCCAAGUAAACUCUUCUUGACUAAACUAAUGCCAUCAACAAACCAUCACAUCCUCAAUUGGGAAAGGUGUGUGGUAUCAAAGUGACACUUGUUUACAAGAGUAGCCUAGACUGCUACAAUCUAUGGAAGACCUGGACAAAGGGCCUGUCCAAAGAAGAAAAGGAUAGAAAGGUAUGAAUAAUAUAUCAUCAUCGCAUGCAAAAAGAUGAGAAAACUAGGAUCACAAGCAACACAAAAAAAGGUCUAAAUUUGAAGAUAAAGGCCGGUACGGACAGUAUCAUUCGAAAUUAAAAUCCUUGCCUAAUAUAUUCAUCCACUAUAAGGAUUUAAUGUGAAUCCGUGAUUAAACCUAAAAUGGUAGGAACUCACUAGAUUUUCCUAGCUUUAAGUCUUAACAUUAGUGACAACCCCAUCACAACUUUUACAACAUCAUAACCACUACUCCAAAACCAACAAUAAAAUAUCUUAAAGCACUCUCUAUAUUUUACCAUCAGAAAAAUAGAAAAUUUAAGACACAACUAAGGUUCUUAAAUUAUUUUAAACUCGAUUAUGUAAAAAUCCAUCAACAGGCAUCUGAACAAGUAAUUUUGCAUAAUCUUGGGCCGUUAGCGUACCAAUUCCUCAUCCCACCAUGCCUCCCAGCUUUCCUCUCCCUUUACUCCAAUUCCACCUCUAUAAAAUAGCCAAUUUGUCCAAUCUCGAAAGUCCUCCACUGUCCUGAACAAUAGAAAAUAGCUACAUUGUAAACUAAGGCAUCUUUUAGGCAAACGUAUAUGCUGAACAGAGUGGGAAUACCAUGGGAUGCAAACUAAUAUUAAGACAAAGACAUGAAACUUACUUCUGCCACUCAAAACCAGAUGGAUUAAACAAAUAUGGAGCAAAAAGCCAAGAUAAUGCCAUGAUCCAACUACUAACAGAGAGCAAGAUGUACGAAAUAGCUCCACCACUGUUAUAACCAUAUGCAAGGAAUAUUACCAACAAAAGCACAACUUCUAACCUGCAAGAGAAAUAUAGGAUAUUAAGAUGAAUUUCCUUAUAAUUAUUGAAGAUGAACCUUUAAUUUUGGGUAAGAUUGCAAACCCCUUCACAAAAUGGCUACGGGAGUACAGCCUAUAAUUUUCUGCAAACUUGAUGUGACGAACAACAAAACCCCUACCAGUGGCACGGUACUGAUAUAAAGAUAAACCAGAAUCAAUAUGGUGAACAUAUUAAAGCAAAAAAAAUAAUAAUAAUAAAGCAGUAGUGCACAAGAGAUUUUUGCCUUAGCACCCCCAUGGAGAAUUGUUCUGCCAAAAUAGUGUGUCCUUGUUCCAAGAGAAAAUGUGAAAAAGACUGAGCAAAGCUGCAGCUGCAUUGUUGUGAAGCUGACAACAGCCUGUACAAAAAUUAACCACAAAAUAUAUGUUUGUAUCAUCACGUUCUUAAUAAAAUUAAAUAAGACUAACAAAGAAAAUAGUACAUAAAUUUCUAUUAAAUAAAUUUACAUGUUCACUUUAGAACCAUGAAAAAUCAUGUAGAAGGAUUCCUCCAUGAAAGCUUACAAACAACACUUGUCAACAUAGCACAACAGCAGAAGUUCAGAAACGAAGUUUGACUAGAUGAGAAAAGCUAAAGCCAUCUGUGGGGAGCCAAACAUAUAUCAUAAUUGGAAAAGUUCAACUAACUUUUGAUAUUAAGUGAAUUCUCCUCUACUGGGUACUAUCAUGAGCAAUUUAACUGGAGUUCAGGACAUCUACAAAGAAUCUUAUUUUUCGUUGAACAUAAAAAAAGUUACACAACAACAAUGAUAUUCUAUCCACUUCAAUAAAUAACACUACAAGUGUAAUCAGCAAGAACAUUUUAUUUCUUUGAGGACAUAUUACUAUGUGGUUCCUAACAUACAUCCCCCCUUCUUAAGGUCCAACUGAGCAGCUGGCAAAUUGAUGAUAGGCUUCUAAACACAUCACAUUUUGGCUGAUCCAUGGUUUGGUGCUUCUUUCAAACCUUAACUGGAUUCGGAGAAACAAUCAUGAUUGGUAAUCCUUAAUCAAAACUUCUAGAUAAUUAAAAAAGGUGUACCCAAUGAACGAUUGGAGGCUCCCGCUAAUGUGGGAUUUGCGGAUGUCAAUGUACAUAGCUUUACCUUUAGAUAUUUUAAAGUGGCUGUUUCCGUGACUUGAACCGUUGUCUCCUAGGUCACAAAGGAGCAAGCUUACCGACCAAUUCCAAAUGCUUAUAUUUUCAAAAGUUUUGGCCAAUUUUGAUGUUAUUGGCCCAGGUAGCAAAAGAUUGAUAGGGUAACCAUAUAAAAUAAAAGAUUUAUGAAUAUACAACUCUAUUCCGAGACAUGAACUUUGUCAGAUUAGAUACUGGUCAUAAAGCAAUUAAAAUAAAGAAAUGAGUUCUAUUAUUUUCAUAAGUAUUCAUGCUUCUAAUAGCAUGCUUUUCUCUUUUCACUUUACACAUCAGUACCACACUCCAAGAUUCACUCACCUUUCGAAUUUAUUCACCAAAAGCUUCCAUAAGAAAGGAACAAUGAUGUCAGAAAAAAAUAAAAGAAAAAAAAUGAUAACAUGCAUUUAUUGGACAAUUGAAUCUGAUAAUCAAACAUAAUUGAUGUCUAAAAAGUCAUCGAUGUCUAAAUAACCAGUUUUGCAUUGAAAUGACAUUUCAAGGAUGUCAUAAGAGGUUAUAUCAAAAUCUAUACUUUAAGCACUUAAAUCAUUUCUACACAUUUGGUACAGGAAUAUCAUUGAUAUUCAUUACUCAGGCCCUUUUUUAACAAAAUUGGAAAUUACACAUUCUCAAUUGUGUCAAACCAUUAUAUUUAAUAAUUCUAAACAAAUUAACCACUUCAACAUCAACUACAAUUUGCAAAUAUAGAAAUGAGAUGGGUAUCAAAAGUGGAUACCAUUAGAAAACCAUAUUCCAGUAUGAAGCCCAAAAUCAUUGGAACAGCAGUGAAGACUCCGAUCUGAAACAGAAACUGUGUGUUUAGUGCAGCAUCUAGGGCAGUGUUCUGUAAUAUGUCCGCCCGAAUCUGAAUAGCUUCACCAAUGCCAGAUAAUGCCUGCAUCAACAAUUACCAUAUUCUGGUUUAAAAAAAACAGAAAAAGAAAAGAAAGAGGUAACAUGUUCACCUAAGGAUACCAAAAGGGUAAUAUGUUUACCAAAAAUCAAAUGAACUUCAAGGUUUAACAACAAAAGCUAAAGCUCAGCAAAAUCUCCAAUAGUAACAAAUUGUCAGAAAUGAUAAUAUUGACAAGAAAAAUCUAAAUAAAAAUAAUAUUGAUUGGAAAAGAAAGCAACUCAUUGCAAAAGGCUCCAGCCAAUACAAAUCUGCGAUGGAUCAGUGUAGGCAGUCUUUCUUCUACAAGUAGAAAGACUGUUUCUGUGACUCGAAUCCAGGUCACCCAGGUCACGAAGGAUUAACCAUACAAUUGUACUGAGGCUUGUGACAAGCCAUUAAGUGAAUUCAAACAUAGCAAAGAAUUUUGAGAAAUAACCAAAACCUUAUCUCGCUGAUGAAGGCAACGGCUGUGUUUUGUUAUCAUUUCUUCCAUUUGCAUCUUGAUGUCAUAUAGUUACUAUUAGGAACUCACAACGCAAAUGUGUAGCAAUGCUUGUGGCACUGAGUUUUUGGUCUAUCGAAAGAGAAAGUGACAUGCCAAAAUCAUGUCCAACACAUUAUUGUACACAUCAGAAACUUCUGCAUUGCUGAAUAAUCCUUUGAAGAAAUUCUUAGUGGCAUUUAUCUUGAUAAAUUUUGUCCGUGUAGAUUCCCAAAGAUAAGUCAAUCAAUGCUACAGCAUAUGAUUCUUUAUUUUUUAAUAAGUUGUGGCAACAACUUCUCGAUCAUAGAUUUUGCAGUAUCUCUCUGUCCUGAGCUCUUUGGGGCUGAAUAAGGUAUUUCUUGUACCGUUAUACUUUAUUACUUUAGUGAUAGGAGUUGGUAUACUUCCCCACUAGGAAAAAAAUGACAGAUAUAUUAAAUAGGAACAAUUAAAAAUCCACAACCAGUACCAUCAUCUUUUGCACUAUGGAUUCCUAGUGAAGGAAAAGGAUGUCGACAUAAAGUUCAAAGCUUAAUAGGCUAGUUCAAUUAAUACUUUAAUCUAUAUCCAUGGACAUUUCCUUGUUUAUACUAACAAAUAUACUUCAAAUUUGCAAAUGUGACCUAAUAGCAUUUGCUAUACCAAUUAAUUACAUCCAACGACAUGGACAAGGAUCUAGUACGGAUGUAAUAUAUGGAUACUUCAGAAUACAUAUGAUUUUAUAUUCAAACAUAUGAAUGCCGAUCCUUGAGAGACACUAAUAUUUUAUUAUAAAAUAUAAUUAAAGAUUUAAAUACUCUUAAUUUGACAACACAUAUAGCAUGUGGCAAAGGAUCCAUGUAGCCAAUCCCAAAUAGUCAAAACAUAUAGGUUGUUGUUGUUGCUACUGCUUUUAUCUUGUUCCAUGAGUAAUUGAUAUAUAUAUGUUGUAUUCUUCAUCCUCUGCUUCUGUGAAUUAUUUGUAUGGAUUACAUAAUUAUGCUGAUGUGUCUAAUUGAAAAUUUAUGAUUUGAAGUAACUUAAAUAUAAUGUGUAUGAUGCAAUUGUGUUAUGUUUGAUGCUUUUCUUUUCCUUAUGUUCAACCUAAUGAGAAGUGGUAAAUAACAAGUGCAUGAUUAUAUUUAUUUUUUCAAGAUGAAACAAAGACGACGACAAAGUGCUCUAAGCUAUAUAAGAAUACAAGUUUACAUUAAUAUUACCUUUGAAAAUACAAGUUUAAACCAUUUUCCAUCAUGGUUAUCAUUUAUUCGUUUUGAUAUAAGAAAAUAGAAUAAAAAAAUAUGGUGGUCAGUUCUGUUGUUGCAUGAUAUGAAAAUAUAAUGAUUAAUCUUGAUAGCUACCUUCAUAUUCAUUUAAAACUUUAUAAAAGUGUACAAGUCCUAAUGCCCCUCUCCACCUAAUAUCUGGUUUUUACUCUAAGAACGAUAUCAUUAAAGAGGAUAAAAGCAAAACCAAUUUCUUCAAUCAUUCAUGAAGACCAAUUCUUAACUUAUGCUACUUAGAUGAGAGGUAUAGCAUUGCAAACAAAGUGAUGAUCAUGGUCUAUAAUAUGCCACUUAAUUGCAAGGAUAAGAUCUGUUUCGUACUUUCACGGACAAAGUUCUAAACAACCCCAUUUUAGUUGGGUUUGGUGGCCUUCUUAGGCUUAUAAAUAAAUGUUGUGUCAUGUGAACACAUGUGAGAGAUAUUCGGUCUGUAGUGGACCAUUUUGACCCUUUGUUAUGCAACUGUUCAGAGCUUGUAAAGUCUGUUUAUAAUUUACAUUGUCUAUGAAGUGUUUCCUAUAAUGUUUGCUUGUGGAUCCCGAGUGAGGCGCUUUCUCUAACCCGUUUUCUCUUUUGAAUGUCCUAAGGGACCAUGGGAGGUUUUGGGGAGGCUAACCUUUUACGGACGGACACGCAAGGGUGCCGCAUGACUUAGGCAAAACCAACUAAAUCCGUGACAGAUGGUAUCAGAGCGAGACAAGCACUCAUAGAAACACUUGACAUGUAAACGUGGGGGACCUAGUGGGGCUGCGUUGAGGGCAACUAGCACGCGCGACCGUUUGGGGGAAAACGAGCAUGGAGAUGUUGGGAAAAGGAGUCGCUCAGAGGAGCGGGCAUCUGAGAGUGGCAUUCGAAGGAAUGACCAACCCUUCGCGCUAGAGGCACCUCGAGGACAAGCAAGCUGGGAAGAAUGCGGAUGGCUGGGUUGGUUGAGAUGGCUGAGUUCGAGCUACGACUCGACAUUAACAACUACACUUUAUGGUGCUAAGGCAAGCGAGGUGCUUGGUAAAGGAUGAGACCAUGCAAGGUGAAAUGAGUUGCUCAGCGACCAAAAGAGUUAUGCAAAGCUCACAGAGGUGAGGGGAAUUGCUAACUCGAAGAAUUCGAUACUCAUGCAAGGGCUUAUAUGCGGACGAUGAAAUGUUCGUGGCCAUCCCAAGGCGAUCGGAACUCGGCGCCAUGGAGCAUUGGAACUUUCUCUUCGACAUGUGAAGGAUACGUCCGUAGGAGGCUGAAGUGUGCAGCGAGUUCAAUAUGUUGCUAGGCCUUGAGUGGUGCAACGGGGGCUGUAUUGACGUGGAGUCGCAAUCUAGCAAGUGCAUUUGCAGGAGGCAGAACAAUGUACAGUUUGUUCAGCAAAUCGAAGUAGUCCAAGGGGAUGGUGGUCAACGAAACUUUCAGAGAGAAAGAACCGAAGAGAGAUGUUGCUCCAACGGGACAGAUAUCCAGGAGGGAUAAGUCCCGGCUCUCCAGAGUGAGAAUCAUGUGCAACAUAUCGCAUAUGUUGAGGAGUACCUCAAAAAAAAAAAAAACUCCAUGAAGCUCAAUGGACCGAGCGAGCGGUGAGGAGUCUUCACAUGAUCUCGCUUGAGAGAAUGCAUUGGUAGAUGCAUUGUGAGAUCAAGUAGGAGAGCGACCCAAAGCAACAUAAAUGAAGACAUACUUGGAGUCGAUAUAGAGAUCAGACUCAAGGGAGGGCUGACCCGUGGAAUGGUAGGCGCGAGGGUCACCAUCAACUCAUUGCAAAAACGAGGAGCGGAGUGACUUGGGUGUAACUUGACGAAGUACCCAAGCCGCAUGAAGUGAGCCGACAUAGAAGAUGGAACAUGGAGCGAAGGCGCAGAGCUUUCCUUGGACAGAGGUCAAGGACAUGAACUCCUGCAAAGGCAAGAGCAGGAUCAUAUUGUUCGAUGGGUCCUUCAUUCUGAUGGAGCGCACACAUCUUGCAUGGUGUCAAAGACGAAGGGAGCUUUUGAGGCACAUGCACCUUAUCUCGGAGAAACAUUUGAUGGAAGAACUAAGGCGACUCAAUUUGCGGAGGCGAAGUUGGGUUCAGAAGGCCUUGGCACGGGGUAAAAGGACGUGGAGACGAGUACUCUUGAAAAAUAUGCCAUAGUGUUGCCAUGAAGAAAGCGAUGCGCAGUGAAGAUUAUGCUGGUAGGGGCAAAGGCCCAGGAUCCAAACAAUGGUGCACUAGUUGCAGCGAAGUCGAUGGACUUCGAGAGCUACUAGGCGACAGACUGUCCUAGAGCGGUACUUCAUCUUGGUGUGACACAAGGGCGGGUGGAUGAAGGUCGAUUGCCAAAGGAGCUAACAAAAUCGAAGAUGGAAGAGACCCUGCG
rnacentral:lncRNA from 1 species